UUAAGCCUACGGGGGGCAGCAGUGGGGAAUAUUGGGCAAUGGGCGCAAGCCUGACCCAGCAACGCCGCGUGAAGGAAGAAGGCUUUCGGGUUGUAAACUUCUUUUGUCAGGGAAGAGUAGAAGACGGUACCUGACGAAUAAGCCACGGCUAACUACGUGCCAGCAGCCGCGGUAAUACGUAGGGGACAAGCGUUAUCCGGAUUUAUUGGGUUUAAAGGGUGCGUAGGCGGAAUGCCAAGUCAGCGGUAAAAUCGCGGGGCUCAACCUCGCUCCGCCGUUGAAACUGGCGUUCUUGAGUGGGCGAG
rnacentral:rRNA from 1 species